AACCUUUAGGUAAACAAGCAUUAAAGGCAAUACCUGCCCAGUGAACAAUUAAACGGCCGCGGUACCCUAACCGUGCAAAGGUAGCGUAAUCAUUUGUCUAUUAAUUGUGGACCUGUAUGAACGGUAAAAUGAGGGCCCGACUGUCUCUUAUAAUAAAUCAAUUAAACUGAUCUCCCAGUACAAAAGCUGGAAUAAAAUCAUAAGACCAGAAGACCCUGUGAAGCUUAAACCAACCUAUUAAAUCAUAUAAUAGCUACUUUCGGUUGGGGCGACCUUGGAAAAAAAAAGAACUUCCACAUAUGACCUUCAUCAUACACAGGCUGACAAGCCCACAUGACCCAGCACAGCUGAUAAUAGAACCAAGUUACUCCAGGGAUAACAGCGCCAUCUUCUUCAAGAGCCCAUAUCAAAAAGAAGGUUUACGACCUCGAUGUUGGAUCAGGACAUCCUAAUGGUGCAGCCGCUAUUAAGGGUUCGUUUGUUCAAC
rnacentral:rRNA from 1 species